GAAAUGCGAUAAGUAAUGUGAAUUGCAGAAUUCAGUGAAUCAUCGAAUCUUUGAACGCACAUUGCGCCCUCUGGUAUUCCGGGGGGCAUGCCUGUUCGAGCGUCAUUACAACCCUCAAGCUCUGCUUGGUAUUGGGCGUCACUCUUUGUGGUGCGCCUCAAAAUCAGUGGCGGUGCCACCUGGCUCCUAGUGUAGUAAAAUUUCUCGCUAUAGAGUUAGGUGUUUGCUUGCCAGAAACCCUUAUUUUUUUUUAUAGGUUGACCUCGGAUCAGGUAGGGAUACCCGCUGAACUUAA
rnacentral:misc_RNA from 1 species